UCCUUAUAGCACAAAUAAAGUAUACUUAUAACGCACAUUAAGUACACUUUAAUAUCACUAAUCAAGCAUGUAAUUAGUCCCUAUACAGGCAUAUACUUAAAGUUGUGUUUUAAUACAGUUGUGUUUUAAUUACAACUCAAAUAUACUCAGUACAAAAUUAGUUGUUUCAAAAUAGCACACUUUAAGGUAAUUAAUCAUUAACACACUUGAAAUAUACUAAUAAUUAGUCUUGCUGCAAGUAUACUUAGCAUACUUUUUUUCACUAGGGUGUGAGCUUUAAUCCACGUGGCUAGUGCGCUGCGCAGAAACCGAUCAUGUGCGUGCUCCGCGUGUAUAUCAUAACAAUUGUAUUUUUGAUGUGUUCGUAUUCAAACUCCAGUUCUGACUGCAUUGCGGGCAAAAUACAAACACUCAUGUGCUGCUGUGCUGAGGGAAACAUACACAUGGCUCGCGUGUCCAAACGCAGAGGUGAAUGAACAGCACUUUGUGAAAUUUGAAUUAUCUGUAAUGCGAUCUCAUGCAAACGAAUUUUCCAUUUGUGCUGGUAGAUUACAGCAAAACAAUCCACCUGUACCCAAACUUCUGUUCUGGAUGCGUCACAGGAAAACGCAUUUUUGUUGUAGCACUGCGGAAACAAACAUACGACCCAUGUCUCUGAAUGACAAGAGACAGAGGUGAGAGAAGUGAUACUUCCACAUGCAUAUUACUGCAAUUAUAAUCUUAUGCAGACUACAGCGCAGUAAUCAGAUUAAAUGUGCUUUUUCUCAUGAAUAAAUGUAGAAAGUAUUGACAUCAGCAUGCACAUACACACACGUUUGGUGCUCUGUGACUUCAGAUCUCAGUGAUUUAUCACAUAAAAAUGUUUGCUUUAAGUUUGUAUUUUCUCUUUAAUAAUGGAUUCACUGCUAAACUGAUCUGAUCUGAUCUGAGAGAGUGAAGAGUGUGUCAUUGUUCUCUACAGGUUGUAUGAUUGUGGAGUCACAGAUGAAGGUUGUGCUGCUCUAACUUCAGCUCUGAGAUCAAACCCCUCACACCUGAGAGAACUGAGUCUGUCUGGGAAUAAUCUAGGAUGUUCAGGACGUGAACUGCUCACUGAGCUAAAGAAUUCUCCACAUUAUAAACUAAAGACACUGUGGUUUUGAGGAAAUUCCCAUUUCCAAUCAAAUAUCCGCUCUGAGUCCGGCUCCACACACUCUCCUCACGGACACUCUCCUCUUUCUCCACUGUAACUUGAGAAAUUCACCACAGUGUUCAUAAACUCCUCUGAUCUGAAUCACGCAGCAGAAACCACAGGGUCCUGAAGCAGAGAGCUCAGAGAGCUGACAGAGAGACACCGUUUGUGUUUCUUGUUAGACAUACUGAAUACAGACUGAUAGAUUAAUAAUUAUAGCUUUUUUAAGACAGGGUUUCAUAAAUGUUAAUGAUGACUGUAUUAAUUAUACACUAACUCUGUUAACUUGUAUAUAUGUAUGUAUAAGAUACUGUAAAAAACUAUUUUACAGCACAAUUUGAAUUUGUCUCAUAAUUGAUCACUAAUGUGAUGUUGAUGAAGCUCUAGUCUGAAUGGAGAUGAGAAUAUAGUAGUGCUGUAAUCAUAAAGUGUCUUUUCAAAGCUGUUGUGUAAGAAACUCCAUUUCCAUGUCAAAUAAUGUUUAUCAUUGGUUUUUAAAUGUAAACUGCAGACCUUCUACAACUAACAGCAUUUUAUUUUAUUUAAAAAUCACAUUUUGUGCCGUUGUCUAGUCUGAUUUGGCAUUAAUAUUACAAGAAAUCAGUGUUAUUCAUAUGUAAGCACAUAACAGUCUUUAGGUCUGUAGAAAUGAUGAUCAGCUCAUAUUGAACACAGAGAUCAACCCCAACACACAUCCAGGGACGUGCACAGACAUUUUGGGGGGCAGGGGCUCAAAUGGAAAAAAGGGCACUUCUCAUGAUUAUUUAUUUAAAAAAAUAAUAAACCCUUAAAUAUA